UUAUUGUAAAAACUAUUUGACUAAUUACUGAUUAGUAUUUACGUUUAUGUAUCAUGUACCCUAAUCCGAUAAGUAAUAAUUACAAUUUUAAAAAUUUAUAAUUUCUAGCUUAUAUUAUACUUGUAACAAUCCAUUGUAUCGUUCACUCACGCUAGCCAUUGGCGUUGGUUUUAUUAUUUUUGUUUGGUGCCUAGCGAUUUAAAAAUAUCUGAUAAAGAAUUAUAAAAUUGAUAACGAACUUGACCACUAACCAGUAAGUUGUAAAAUAUUAAUUUUUGUAAUGUUUUGCAGUUUGCACUCUUAAUGUAAUCCACGUUUGGAAAAUUGGAUAAUAUAUGAAUGUACAUUUUCUGACAUUAAGUAGGUAUUUAAGCUCUUAAAAUUAAAGGGAAGAAAUCGUUUAAUAAAUGUAAUCUCAGACAUAUAAUAAUGAUCUAAUUUUAUUUUAGUUGUACUGAUGUUUAGAAAAAUGGAAUUACGUGUUUUGUUGUUACACUGCUUCAUCCAUCACUAAGGAUAAAAUCCUUGUUUUGACAAAUAGAAUAAGGUCUUCAGUGUUUGCACGGAAGAGUGCAGAAACAUGUUUAGUGAACUCUAAUAUUUUAACAAGCGGAUAAAGUAAACUACAGUCUUCAUAUUGUUUCAUACCAAUAUUUUACUCAGCAGUGACCACGCAACACCUAUCGGCUAUCUGUCAUCAUCAUAACACGUUAUCAAUACUAUAUAAAUAUUAGAGGAUUUACAAAGGAAGUUGAGUAUUGGUUGGUUAGAAAUUAAAAGAGUAUAAAAAAUAAGGAUCAUAUCACAGAUCAUACUAUGCAAGAGGUUCCCAAAUUUUUUAAAUUUGAAGAGAUGUAUUAUUUAAAAAUAUAACUACGACUCACUAAAAAUGUAAUCACGAUUCACAGUUUCCGAACUAUACGCUUAAGUUGUUGCCGAUUUUAUUCUGGUCGUAGAUCUGUGGUUAAAUGAAGACAUUUUUAGGAAAAUGGUCAAGAUUAAUUGUUUGUUAUUUGGUGGAAAAUGGACAGUGGAGGAAAAUGAUUACGGCCAUAUCUUGUAUUCAAUUUUUAAGCUUUUUGACUGAGCUGAAAACUUUACAUCAACAUUAUUGUAAAUUCAGUGCAGUGCAGUGUAGACAGUAUAAUAUACCUAUAGCAGAUAGUGUUCGCAGCUGAGCCCGAGGUGCUUUUGGGAAGAUAAGAUGUUGCGGCCGGUUUUCAUUCACAAUUUAUUCUGCGAAGGAACACGGGUUUUGAAAAGGCUGAGUGAAUAAAAGAACAUAAUAUUCUAUUAUUGGUCAAAAAAGUCUUGUUCUAAAAGAAAUAUAAUAAAUAUAGUACCCUACAAAGACAAUAUUUCUGAAAUGAUUUACUACUUCGUUGAUUACCUACUUUAUACUCUAAAAGAUUCCAUUCAAAAGAUUAAACGUGGAAUGUGGAUAAUAUAUUAUGAUUUAUGACUUUAUAAAGAGAAAAGAUAAUAUAUGAAUUGGGAAAAUUACUUUUUCUUACCUUAUUUUAAUACCUGCUUGUGUUUAAUUUAUUAAUGGUGAGUGGUUACUUGAUAUACUUGUAAACUUAUAUUAAUACUGUUUUUUAAACUUAAAGUUAUUAUUGUAAACAGAAAUAUUUUUUAUUGAUAAAAUUAUUAUGGGAAACGGUAUUUUUAAUAUACCUUUACGGCUUUAUAUCUUAGUAAUUUAAGAAUAAAUAAUUUAAUUAAAACUAUAACACUUAGUGUUUUUAACUUAAAGUUGAUAAUAUUUAUAUGCUAUAUUACUAUAAAUACAUGGGUUAGUUAUUAUAAUAUUAUAUGUUAAUUGUGGGUACAUAUUAUGAUAAAUUUGCAUUUAGAAAAAUUUUAUAAACUAUUUUUAAGUUAAAUCUUUGUUAUUAAAAUUAUUUAUAUCGAUUAUGUAAAUAUGAAGAUAUACAUUGCGUAUAUUAUAGAUACACACAUUACACACAUACAAAGUUUUAAUAUAUUAAUAUAGGUUUAUAAUAAUACAAUUAUGAAUAUAAGUUUAAUAAAAACAAAAUAUAUUAUAUUUCAAUAAGACAAUAAUUAUAUAUCUUAUUAAAUAUAGAUUAUAAUAUGUUUAAAUGAUAAAUUUGAAUAGGUACCUGAUGAAUGAUUUUUAAUAAUAAAAUAAUAAAUUUUAUUAAUUAUUAAAAAAAAUAUAUACAUUUCAAGGGGAUUGAUUGUUAGAUGUAGAUUGAUAUGGAUAAAUUAAUUGUAUUCAAUAAUUUAAUUUUUGUCUCGUUAGUUCCGGGAAAACGUUUAAAUGAAUUGAUUAAUACCUACAUAACAAAUAACAAUUGUAUAACUUUGUUAUUUGUUUUAAUUAAUUAUGUUAUUAGACUACACAGAUUUAUUUCGUCUUAUAUUUUUGUUUUUCAUAAAAUAUUUGGCAUAAGAAAAUGGUUUGGAAAAAGAUAAAAUAAACUCAUGCUUAAUAAAUUAUGUGCAAAUAGUUUACUGUGUAAGUAUAUCAAUAACUAUUAUUAUUAAAAUAAUAAUAUUAAUGUUAUAUAUUACCCUACUUUGACAGAGAUCAGAUUUAUUUUUCAAACUAAUGUUAUAUAAAAAAAAGUAAUAUUAAUGUAUUUAACAAUAAUUAAUUAUAAAAAAUAUAUGAAUAUUAAACUAUGUACAAUUUGUCCCAAAAUUUCAUGUAACUUUUUAAUAAUAUUACAGAUUUCCAGGUAGUGAUAAAUGUAAGCCAUCCAGAAAUCCAAGUCAAGCGAAAUUAAUUAAUGGAGGAUAUUAAUAUUUUCUCUAUUGAAUUAUGAAAUUUCACUUAAUUUGA